AACGCACAUUGCGCCCCUUGGUAUUCCAGGGGGCAUGCCUGUUUGAGCGUCAUUUCCUUCUCAAACAAUCAUGUUUGGUAGUGAGUGAUACUCUGUCAAGGGUUAACUUGAAAUUGCUAGCCUGUUAUUUGGUUGUGAUUUUGCUGGCUUGGAUGACUUUGUCCAGUCUAGCUAAUACCGAAUUGUCGUAUUAGGUUUUACCAACUUCGGCAGACUGUGUGUUGGCUCGGGCGCUUUAAAGACUUUGUCGUAAACGAUUUAUCGUUUGUUUGAGCUUUUCGCAUACGCAAUCCGGCGAACAAUACUCUCAAAGUUUGACCUCAAAUCAGGUAGGAAUACCCGCUGAACUUAA
rnacentral:misc_RNA from 1 species